AACGAACGCUGGCGGCAUGCCUAACACAUGCAAGUGGAACGAGACCUUCGGGUCUAGUGGCGCACGGGUGCGUAACGCGUGGGAACCUGCCCUUAGGUUCGGAAUAACUCCCCGAAAGGGGUGCUAAUACCGGAUAAUGUCUUCGGACCAAAGAUUUAUCGCCUUUGGAUGGGCCCGCGUUGGAUUAGCUAGUUGGUAGGGUAAAAGCCUACCAAGGCGACGAUCCAUAGCUGGUCUGAGAGGAUGAUCAGCCACACUGGGACUGAGACACGGCCCAGACUCCUACGGGAGGCAGAAGUGGGGAAUAUUGGAAAAGGGGCGAAAGCCGGAUCAAGCAAUGCGGCGUGAGUGAGGAAGGCCUUAGGGUUGUAAAGCUCUUUUACCAGGGAUGAUAAUGACAGUACCGGGAGAAUAAGCGCCGGCUAACUCCGUG
rnacentral:rRNA from 1 species